UGCCGGGUUGAUAGCUCCUAAUACAAUACCCUCACGGGGAAUAAGAGCAGCGCUCCAGUUAGCGUAGUUGAGACCCGGCUUUUCUCAU
rnacentral:ncRNA from 1 species